CACAGAAGCCUGUAAUUAAAGGAAAUCAUAAGCCCAAGUUGAAGUCAAACAGUUGAUACUCAGCAUGGCUUUUACCUUUGCCACAGUGUUGAUGGCUUUGUUCGCAUUGUCGAUCGGUGAUGCUUCAUCCGACGGCAAUGACCAGAAAAGAGUGGCUCCUGCUCUUGGUGGUAUAGGUAUAGACAAACUUCUUCCUAACCUUGAUCUUCCAGACCUUCAGCUGCAUGACCUUCUGAAGUUUAUAAAUCAAGUCAUUGAACAGAUUCAGAAGCUUAUUCGUCAAGUAUGUCCGAAGUUGGGCCAUGGAGGCUACAAAGCAGCGGCUGGCUGGAGCGGAGGCUCAGGCUAUGCACCAUCAGGCAACUAUGUUCCAUCAGGUGAUUAUGUUCUACCAGGCAACUACGUGCCACCAGGAGGCGACUACGUGCCACCAGGAGGCGACUACGUUCCACCAGCAGGC